CAUAUACUCCCUCCGUCCCAUAUUAUGACUUUCUAUUACAUGUAUCUAGACGUUUUUAUGAAUAGAUACAUCCAUAUUUGGACAAAUUUGAGUCAUUUAAUAUGGGACGGAGGGAGUAGAAC
rfam:Brachypodium distachyon strain Bd21 chromosome 3, whole genome shotgun sequence.